AUCUGACUCAUUAUCCACCAGACCUUCAGUCAGACCUCUAUCUUUUACGAACAUUCUCAGAUGAAUCUAAUAUAUUUUUAACAGAAUCCGAAUCUUGAACUGCCUAUGUUAUUAUCCUACAAGCAUAUUGACAGUGGUUACAGAUAAAAGAGAAAGCAUGAAGAAACAACUUCAAAAAGUUAUCAUCUCAGGAUACUUGAUAUGCAACUAACUAAACCACUAUCUUAUGUCUGAGGUUCAGAAUAAAUGUCCAGUAAAAUACCAAAUGACUCUCUUAAGCAUUUAUAAUUAUUAUAAGUAGCCAUUAUGGCCAAAGCUCUAAGUUAUGAAUUAUAUGAAAGUUGAAAGCAAGAAUAUAUAGAAUUUCUGGCUUUAGAUAGAAUAACUAUCAAAUGGGUGCUUUUUUAACCCAUGAACUCUGUGAAUGGAUUUAAAUAUGAUAGAAUAAAGUAGAAGUCAUGCAAUGGGAAUGAACAGAUUUUGCUAAACUUACUUUUUUGCCUGGCAAAAGAAAUAUGCUGUUUGGAUCACAUUUCUUGUUCCUACUGAAUGAUGAUCUUAAAUUUUUUCCACAUAUGAAAGGAAUACUUGAAAAUAUAAAAGAACUAAAUCAAUGCAUCAGAUAGUAGGUAAUCCUUUCUGUUUACCUACAUGCUGAUUAUCCUUGCCAAAAAGUGCAUUGAAAGGUGGAAUGUUAACCCUGGGUAUUUUUGCAAAAAUCAAAAAAAAUUAUUUAUUUUUGUUCUUCUGAAUUACACUUAAUGGGUGGAAGAAUACUAGAUUUGAAAAGAAAUCAUUUCCAGUCACUUCAGUGACCCUCAAAAUAUAUUAGAUUCAGUCUAUACCAAUGUAUUUAUAAAGUCCAUAUGACAUAUUUGAUUCUUCCACUUACAUUUUGUGUUAAUGUUUAGGUAUAAUUUUUCUUAAAUUCUCGAAAGGACAUUUCAGUUAUCAGAAGCCCUUCCAUCAUUACUGACCCUUUUUCAUUAUUUCAUUUGUUACCAUCUAUCAGUAUUAUUUUUGAGUAUUUGUUAGGUGUCAUCACGCCUUCCUAAGUGUGCUGUGUUUUAGUAGCCUAGUAUUUGAAGUAGUCUGCUGGAAACCAAGUCAGUAUAUUCUCUACCUAUUCCAAAGAGCUAAAAAUCAGAGCCAGGAAAGCUUUUGAUGUUUUGUUGUUGUUCUUGUGUUUAUAAUUAUUGCUGUAUUAUUAUUGUUGUUUUACAUAAGAAUUAUAGAGACUGUGAAUACAAAGAGCCCACCUUAACUAGAGAGCCUUGUUUAAUGCAGACCAUUGAAGGUUUGACAUAAUCAAAAUAUCUAAGGUAGCAGAAAUGUAAAAUUCCUUGCAACCUGGAAGAAAGAUAAGUAAGGGGGAUGUAAAGUCUGUCUUAUAAGGUACACAUUACACUGCAGCUCAAAUUCACGAUGACAGUGAUGUGUGAUAUGGCCUAGAUUCUUGAAAGGGACCUGACUUGACUUUUUUAAAGAUAGAUAUUUUAUUAAUGAGCUAAAAAAAAGGGUUGGCGUGAGGUUAGCAGAAGUAAGCCAUCCAGUAUUCCUAUCACUACAAUCUAACCACCUUAUUUUGUGCCAGAGAAACUGAUAAAAUGUAAUAAUAGGAUCAUAUACCCAUCAUUUGAAUAAUUUUGAACUACAAACUGUCCUUAUAGUUUUCAUAACUGUUGUCCAUUGUUUGAGGAUGUUAGUACUAAACUGAAAACAUAAAUUCCAUAUCUACCACAUUUACACCAGCAACAGUAUAAAAUGUAAGCCUAAAUUUGCAAAAUUCAUAAUAAUUUAGUGACAGAAUUUUUUAAUAACAUGCAGUAUAUAUAAAUGCAGAUUUUAUGCAAGUGUUGACAAAAUCAUUUUUCAGCUUACAAAAUUGGACUGCAAUAUUACAUUUUUCACUUCAGCAAUUUUUUACAUCAUUGCUUUCUAUAAUGAAUGUGAAUGCCAUCUUUUAUGAAUGCAACUUGCCUUUUUCAUUAAAGAAAUUUUGUUUGAUGUAAUCAAUAAACUUUGGUAUGAUAUAAUUGACAUUUUCAGUCUCUUUUUUGUAAAGGUCUGUUUAACAUAAAAGUAAUAUGGAAGA
ensembl:lncRNA